CUGGAAAACCAUAUCCUGCACAACUGGUUCUAAAUGCUUUGUGGAGAGAUGAUUCUCCUUUUCCCCGAAAUUGUAAGUUAAAAAAUCAAAAGACUAAUAUUAUGGUGCGAACUGGGGGCUGAUUUGUACAAAAUCAAAAGCCGAUUUGUGAAUGAACUAAAGAAAAUUGCAGAUUGCUACAAAGUAACAGGUUAGAGAAGUACUUCGGCUGAAAGUGAUAAAAAACAUAAGAUUUGAAGACCAGUUUGAAAAGGAGAGGAAAACUAUUCCCAUGAAAAUUCCGGCACAAAGAUGAAUAAUAUUGCAUAAGAUGUGUCUAUAUUGCUUAUAUAUUAUUCUCUCAAAGCAAUCAAAAAAAAAAAAAGAAAAAAAAAAGAAAAAAAGAAGAAGAAGAAAUCUGGAUUCCAGACUAGAUACUGGCCCUUGUUUAGCACUUAGACUAUAGUAGGUUGGAAAUAACCAAUUUCUAUCUGUAUUCAAAACAGAAAUAGAAACAAUGAAAAAUGUGUAGAAGGAAAAACAAUAAAAAUGUGUCCCUGAACAGUCCUUAUAAGUCUAAUAUUUUCCCAACUUUGGGGUUUCCAAAACUCAAAACACUUCUAGAAAUACCAACUAAGCCUUGAACUCCCUUUCUUCUUGCGCAACACAAGGCCUAUGGACCUCUUGGUUAGAUCAGUAUGAUGACUUGGUCAGACCCCAUAGUGUUAUCCCUUGUUUUUUAGGCCUAUUUUGGAUGAUCUUUGGACCUUUCUUGGGUUGUUACACAGCCCCACGACUGCAUCCCCCGACCCGCAUUUAGUGGAACUCUCUGGCAAUUUAAUGCUUUAUAGAGAUGAAAUAACUCUGCAUUUAGCUUCAUUAACGUGUUCAUCUAAUCAGGGUUAGUUUUCCAUGUUAUGAAUGAUUAUUUAUCAUGCCUGUAGGAUGAGUUUGCAGUAGUCUUUGCUUUGACAAUUUGUUCAACUCCAUGUAUUUUCUUGUUGACUGUCUUAAAACUUCUUCAUGUUAGGUGACUUGGGACCAUUUUGAUUAGUGUAUUUGGGUGUACAAUUUUGCUUCAUAGCAUGCAAAGUGACUUUAGGACAAUCCUUAAUAAAUGUGUUUGCCAGCAUUUUGUAUAUCUUACUCAUAAAACCAUGUUACAUUAAAACAGUGUUUUGCACAAUCACCGGUGCUACAUCAGACCUGAUAUUAUCUGUUUACCUUUUCAUAGUAGUGAAAGUAGCUACGUAAUUAUAACUCUGUGUCCACACUUCUAGUUCUACAAAAAAUUGUUUAUUUAUAAUUCUACACCCUUUUCCGGUACUGUAUGCAGCAUUGGUAUGCACCUUUGUUUUCAAUUUAUCUGCCACUAAUGCAAUGUUAUGCUUACCAUUACCGACAUCAGUUAAAUUAGGCAUAAUUUACCUCGUGAUUUGUGACUAGUUCAAAAUAUGGCAUGACAUAACCAAUCAUCGUCCUCAAUUGGUUUUUAUGGUCUCAGGACCUUACCUUUCAGAAAAAAAAAGGUCUUAUGACCUUGUUCCUACCAACCAGCCAAGAAAACGCUGCAACCUUGGGAGGCACCCCCAUAUGACCAAAUGAACUUGGUUGGGGCCUUUGACGCUUUUCGGCCGGGAUGACGAAUCGCCCCAUAGAAGGAUCAAAGGGAAAAGCUUGCCACCAUUUCCCAUUUCCACACCCAAGCAUCCCUCUAGCGAGUAGAUGGAGAGCAACCUUGAAGAAUAGACAACAUUCAAAUUAUAUCUUCCAAUUCCUCCCUUAAUUCCAAUGGUAGGGAAGAAUCAAAUCGCAAGGCUUCUGUAUACCGAAAAGCACCUAGCAACACAGAUUUUUACCCUCAGAGCAAGCCUAGCAAGUCUAGGAAAUAGAAAACACGACGACUAUUGCCAAGUGUCCUCUCAUGCACUCACCAUCACCCAAUGAGAAGUUGAUAUCAUCCUUGAAGUCACUGGCCCACUAGCCACCCUCAUAAUCCCCUUCCAAGCCAUUAAUGCUUUACGAUGAAUAUUCCUUAGAGAACUGAUCGCCCUCACUAACUCUGUAUUUGUGCAUACCUCUUUUUACAAACCAACCUCCUCCACCCUAAACCUCCACAACCAUUUUCCUAAGAGAGAUAAGUUUAUUGAUUCUAGCUCUCUAAUAUUUGCAUUGUUGCACAUCCGUCAUGAAUCUGUUUGCAAAUUGAUUAUUUAUUUAUUUAUUUAAGAUAACGAAAUUUUAUUAAAAACAAAAGAAAUGGAGAAGAACAACAACAAGGAGGGACUCUAAGAAAGCGACCCAACACUAUCCAAGAAAUCGUAAAUUGCAAUCUUUUAAAAAGGAGACAAGAAGCACAUUCAAUACCCAACAAUCUAGCCCUUUGGGAUAUGCAUUCCACCGCUUUACUAUCAUUGUUAAAACACCUCGUAUCCCUUUCUUCCCAAACAACCCUCCAAAUAGUGAUGAGUGCCAUUCUCCAGAGCACCAUUUUAGCUUUCCCUAGGCGCACCCCAUUCCAAGAGGAUAAAAGACUGCCCAUCGAGUUCGGGGCGAUCCACCUCAAAUGGAAGCGACCCAACAUAUCAGCCCAAAUUAGCAUUAGGAAAGAGCAAUGCAAAAACAAAUGAUCCAUUGUUUCCUCAUCACGCAAACAUAGAAUGCACUUAUUUAGGAGUACCAUAGAUCCCUUUCGAAGGUUAUUAAUGAUUCAAACUUUCUUUCUUCCCACCAACAUACCACAUAAUGUGGCCAAUUCUCCAUAUUAGCAGGUGAUAAUUGAUGCAACAAUAGAAGCGGGUGAAUGAAUUAAAGCUCCCACAGCUAGGGAGAUUAGAGGGAAAUGGACAAAUGCAGAGUAUGCAAAUGUGAAAGCAUACGUGGCUACUUUUAAACCCAUAUGGCAAGCCACAUGAUUCAUGAUCAUGUGUGAUGGUUGGACUGGCCCAACCAGAUGCAUCAUGAUCAACUUUAUGGUGUAUUGCCACUUGGGAAUGGUGUACCAUAAGUCAAUUGAUGCAUUAGAUGAAAGAAAAAAUGCUACUUAUAUUUUUCCCUAAUGGAUAAAAUGGUUGAUGAGAUUGGAGAGGAGAAUGUGGUGCAGAUUAUUACAGAUAAUAAAACAACAUAUAGGGCUGCAGGACAAAAGUUGAUAAUAAAAAGACCACAUAUUUGUUCUCCAUGUGUUGCCCAAUGUAUUGAUCUUAUAUUGGAAGAUAUUGGGAAGAAGAGUAGUGUUAAGGAAAUGGUUGAAAAGGUAAGAGAAGUGACGACAUUUAUUUACAAUCAUAAUCAAGUAGUAGCAAUAAUGAGGAGGUUUACGAAUGAAAGAGAGUUGCUUACGCCCGCGACGACUAAAUUUGCAAUUAACUUUAUAGCCCUGGAGAGUUUGUACCAGCCAAGGGGAGAGUUAAGUGAGAUGUUCGCUUUCCGAGUUGGCUCAACAUGGGAAGAAGACAUCGGUGACAUCGGUUGAGGUUGUAAAGACCAUAAGGGACAACAAAUAUUGGAAGAAGAUCCAAAAGAUCCUAAAGGUGAUGAAAUUAGUAAUGAGGGUACUCUGUCUUGUUGAAACCAACGAAGCACCUAUCAUGGGCUUCCUCUAUGAUGCCAUGGAUAAGACAAAGCUGGCAAUUCAACGUGAUUGUUCAAAUUGGGAGGUCUACUGGAGGAUGAUUGACAAGAGAUAGACAAGACAACUCUAUCAUGAACUUCAUGUCGCAGGUUACUAUCUAAAUCCUAGAUACAUAUAUGCCCAAUCAUUUCUUGCAGAUAAUGAGAUUCAUGUUGAGUUAAGAAAUGUGAUAAAGAGAUUAAUAGCCCGACUUAUAUAUGCAAAUAAAGGUGUUAAAUGAAUUGGAUACAUAUGGAAAUCACUAGGGCAACUUUGGAGAUGCUCUUGCAUAACACGUAGUAUCUAGGUUGUCACCUGCCGAAUGGUGGAUGGAUUUCGAAGAGAGUGCGAAGGCUCUUCAAAAAAUUGCAGACAACAUCUUCCUUUACCUACGAAAGGAACUGGAGUAGUUUUGCACUUAUGCAUUCGAAGAAUAGGAAGAUAUUGCAAACCAGGACAUUUGAUAGACCUAUC